GCCUUUUUAGUUUAAUGGUAUAACUAUUGUUUUGUAAACAAUAAAUUUUGGUUCAAUUCCAAAAAAAGGCU
rnacentral:tRNA from 1 species